rnacentral:rRNA from 1 species
ACAAGUACCGUGAGGGAAAGUUGCAAAGAACUUUGAAGAGAGAGUUUAAGAGUACGUGAAACCACUAGGAUGGAAGCGGAUAGAGCUGACGAGUAGCCGGCGAUAUUCAGCGUGACGGCUGUCCGGAGCUCCGGGGUUUGCCUGUGUCGAUUGGCACGGGCGCUCUGGGCUUGCCUGUGGCGGUCUAGCGUGCAUUUAUCGUCGGUAUUGUGCUGAGAGCUAUGGUGCGUCGCUCCGGCGCCUGAGGUGUUGCCGACCACUUCGGUGGACGUGUCUUGCCUCGGGAGUGCUGGUUCUGUCGUGCUAUGGUGUCCUGUGCAGAGUAGCGCGAACGUGAUGCCUUCGGGUGUCGCUGCUCGAUCUCGGCAUGUGAAGUCGGUCACCUAUCCGUCCCGUCUUGAAACACGGACCAAGAAGUCUAGCAUGUACGCGAGUCAAUGGGUGUUCAAAACCUAUAGGCGUAAUGAAAGUAAAGGUCGGUUCGGCCGGCUGAUAUGGGAUCCGCUGGGGUUUCGACCUCGGCGGCGCACCAUAGCCCCAUCCUGAAUGCUUGCAUUGGGGUGGCGGAAGAGCGUACAUGCUGGGACCCGAAAGAUGGUGAACUAUGCCUGAGCAGGACGAAGCCAGAGGAAACUCUGGUGGAAGUCCGUAGCGGUUCUGACGUGCAAAUCGAUCGU